GCCUGAGACGGGCAGCCCCCUCUCCGUGCCCUUAUCAGGGGACACAUUCCAGCCUGGCUCUGUCCUCCCAGCGGAGAUAGAGCCCAGCUUCCGGCCCUGGGCAGGGGCGCCUGGAAGCCAGGGUUAUCAGCAGGAAGCCUGCGCCUCUUUCUCAGCCGGCUGGAGAAAGCAGUCAGGCCCAGAGGUGACCGGCUCGGGGGACCUGCGCUGGGGUCGGGGGACAGCGGCCCGGAAGUGUGUGGGACCCGGCUGGGUUUCAGCCAGAGGCUCGCAAGCCUUGAGCGGUUCCUGGGUGGCCGGCUUGCCCCGCAGGCCGCCUGUCGCUGCUGUCCCAGGCCCAGCCAGGCCCUGCCGGGGACGGCGCCCGGGAUGGCUGGUGAGGGGCAGAGGCCCGGGGCGUCCCCAGGCAGCGGGCAGCGAGGCUGAGGGCCGGGGCUGGCUCCGUGGAAGCUGGCUUGGAUUCGAGUCAGGGCAGGGCGGGCGGCUGAGCGGAUCAGGCGGCCGGGUCGGUUGGGGCCUCAGCCGAGGUGAACGCUGGCCUUUCUCACCCUUUGAGAACGGGGAGCGGACGUUCUUACUUCACGUGGCAGCGUGCACCUCGGGGCCGCACUGAGAUCUCCCGGGGACCAGAGUGGGCACACGCGCACACGCUUACUGAGCCCCAGUGCAGGCUGGCCUUGCACUCACUCUGUGAGCUCCUCCUGCCUCAGCCUCCCCAGUGCCGGGAUGACAGGUGUGCACCACCACGCCUGGCUUGGAGCCAGUGUUUGACGUCACCACGGGGCCUUGUCAUCACCGCAUUCCUUGCCGUUGGGUGCAGCCGUGCACUGCCUUAUCUCAGAGGUGCACAUUUCAACUUUUCAUCUCUGGGAGUCCGCCGCCCCAACUAUGGAAACAAAGAAACGAGCAAAAGUAAAAUAAACAAGUGGACAAAUAAAUAGAUAAAUGGGC